UUCCACGUUUUUCCGCGCCGUAGCUUAACGCAUUUAAGUGCCCCGCCAGGGGAGUACGGCCGCAAGGCUAAAACUCAAAGGAAUUGACGGGGGCCCGCACAAGCGGCGGAGCAUGCGGAUUAAUUCGAUGCAACGCGAAGAACCUUACCAAGGCUUGACAUGAACCGGAAAGACCUGGAAACAGGUGCCCCGCUUGCGGUCGGUUUACAGGUGGUGCAUGGUUGUCGUCAGCUCGUGUCGUGAGAUGUUGGGUUAAGUCCCGCAACGAGCGCAACCCUCGUUCUAUGUUGCCAGCGGUUCGGCCGGGGACUCAUAGGAGACUGCCGGGGUCAACUCGGA
rnacentral:rRNA from 1 species